rnacentral:ncRNA from 1 species
CAAACAGAGAGUUUGAUCCUGGCUCAGGAUGAACGCUGGCGGCGUGCUUAACACAUGCAAGUCGAACGGAGACUUUUUCAGUGCAACCUUCGGGGAGCAAGAGGAAAGUCUUAGUGGCGG